rnacentral:rRNA from 1 species
GAUGAACGCUGGCGGCGUGCCUAAUACAUGCAAGUCGAGCGAACAGACGAGGAGCUUGCUCCUCUGACGUUAGCGGCUGACGGGUGAGUAACACGUUGAUCACCUUCCUAUUUGACUGGGAUAACUUCGUGAAACCGGAGCUAAUACCGGAUAAUAUAUUCAACCGCAUGGUUCAAUAGUUCAUGACGGUUUUGCUGUCACUUUUAGAUGGCUUCGCGCCGCAUUAGCUAGUUGGUAAGGUAACGGCUUACCAAGGCGACGAUGCGUAGCCGACCUGAGAGGGUGAUCGGCCACACUGGAACUGAGACACGGUCCAGACUCCUACGGGAGGCAGCAGUAGGGAAUAUUCGGCAAUGGGCGAAAGCCUGACGGAGCAAAGCCGCGUGAGUGAUGAAGGUCUUCGGAUCGUAAAACUCUGUUAUUGGGGAAGAACAAAUGUGGAAGAAACUAUGAACGUCUUGACGGUACCUAAUCAGAAAGCCACGGCUAACUACGUG